rnacentral:lncRNA from 1 species
AGAACGUGGAGACUGUUCGAUCACCAGGAGCACAAAGUUAUCAUUGUUGGGCUGGAUAAUGCAGGGAAAACUACCAUUCUUUACCAGUUUUCUAUGAAUGAGGUUGUACAUACAUCUCCUAUAAUAGGAAGUAAUGUAGAAGAGAUAGUGAUUAAUAAUACGCGUUUCCUAAUGUGGGAUAUUGGUGGCCAAGAAUCUUUUCGUUCUUCCUGGAACACUUACUAUACUAACACAGAGUUGAUAAUAGUUGUGGACAGUACAGACACAUGAUUUCUGUAACUAGAGAAGAACUCUAUAAAACGUUAGCGCAUGAGGACCUAAGGAAAGCUGGAUUGCUGAGUUUUGUUAAUAAACGAGACGUUAAAGAAUGCCUGACUGUAGCGGAAAUCUCCCAGUUUUUGAAGCUACCUUCUAUUAAAGAUAACAGUUAGUGGCAUAUCCAGGCAUGCUGUGCUCUAACUGGCAAGGGAUUGUGCCAAAGACUUGAAUGGACGAUGUCACGACUUUAGAUU